rnacentral:rRNA from 1 species
CCUACGGGUGGCAGCAGUCGAGAAUCAUUCACAAUGGGGGAAACCCUGAUGGGGCGACGCCGCGUGGGGGAAUGAAGGUCUGCGGAUUGUAAACCCCUGUCAUGUGGGAGCAAAUGAAAAAGAUAGUACCACAAGAGGAAGAGAAGGCUAACUCUGCGCCAGCAGCCGCGGUAAUACAGAGGUCUCAAGCGUUGUUCGGAAUCACUGGGCGUAAAGCGUGCGUAGGCUGUUUCGUAAGUCGGGUGUGAAAGGCGCGGGCUCAACCCGCGGACGGCACAUGAUACUGCGAGGCUAGAGUAAUGGAGGGGGAACCGGAAUUCUCGGUGUAGCGGUGAAAUGCGUAGAUAUCGGGAGGAACACUCGUGGCGAAGGCGGGUUCCUGGACAUUAACUGACGCUGAGGCACGAAAGCCUGGGGAGCGAACAGGAUUAGAUACCCGUGUAGUC